rnacentral:lncRNA from 1 species
CGGUAUUAAUUACUAGGGGAGGCUCGGGAUAGCAAGCUGGUAAUUGAUAUUAGGCCCUUUUCGCCGAGGGAUCGGGUUAAGGGGAGGCUAAGAAAGUCGCAUAACAAUUGAAUCAAUCUAAUAAUAAAAGGUAGUACGUAAGAGAGAGUGGAAUAGAUGAAAUUGUUAGUACCNAACAACAUCCAUCCAUCCAUUGUUUUCACUUGUCAAUUGAAUCAACAUUUAUUUUGCAUGUUAAUAUUUUUGCUCUCAAACUCAAUUUAUUAAUUUUAAUUUCUCAAGUCUUAUUAUUUUAAUUCACGCGAAC